rnacentral:lncRNA from 1 species
UUUUUCAAACCGGAGGGAGUUGCUCAUUCCUGGAGGUGUUUCAGCAAACUGACCAUGUGUGGGACAUAGGACGUCGCUUCAUAUGCUGGGGGAAAGAUGAAACUGCGGUUCUCCACGAGGAGGCAAGCAAGCAGCAGCCACUGCAGUCAGAGCAACAGCUGGCCCAGUUGACACAACAGCUGGCCCAGACAGAGCAGCACCUGAACAACCUGAUGGCCCAGCUGGACCCCCUUUUUGAGCGGUGAGGAGAGCAAUGAUUCUGUGAAUUUUUGGGGAAUUUGUGGCAGGAGGGAGGAAUGGGGACAUAGGUUGGGAGCCACUGAGUGGACAUUUCUUCAGUGUGACUACUCUGGCUGGAGCCCAGCAGGAGCUUCUGAACAUGAAGCUAUGGACCAUCCACGAGCUGCUGCAAGAUAGCAAGCCGGACAAGGAUAUGGAGGCUUCAGAACCAGAGGCCAGCAGACCUCUUCCUGAGGACUUCUGUUUAAAGGAGGACGAGGAGGAGAUUGGUGACAGUCAGGCCUGGGAGGAGCCCACAAACUGGAGCACAGAGACAUGGAACCUAGCUACUUCCUGGGAGGUGGGGCGGGGACUACGGAGAAGGUGCAGCCAGGCUGUGGCAAAGGGCCCCAGUCACAGCCUUGGCUGGGAAGGAGGGACGACAGCUGAAGGUCGACUAAAACAAAGUCUGUUUUCAUG